CAACGCGUGGGUAACCUGCCUUAUACUGGGGGAUAACAGCCAGAAAUGACUGCUAAUACCGCAUAAGCGCACAGAACCGCAUGGUUCCGUGUGAAAAACUCCGGUGGUAUAAGAUGGACCCGCGUUGGAUUAGCUAGUUGGCAGGGCAGCGGCCUACCAAGGCGACGAUCCAUAGCCGGCCUGAGAGGGUGAACGGCCACAUUGGGACUGAGACACGGCCCAG
rnacentral:rRNA from 1 species